UACGGGGGGGGCAAGCGUUGUUCGGAAUUACUGGGCGUAAAGGGCCAGUAGGCGGCCAACUAAGUCGGAUGUGAAAUCCCCAGGCUCAACCUGGGAACUGCAUCCGAUACUGGAUGGCUUGAAUUCGGGAGAGGGAUGCAGAAUUCCAGGUGUAGCGGUGAAAUGCGUAGAUAUCGGGAGGAACACCAGUGGCGAAGGCGGCUCUCUGGGGUAUUUCUGACGCUGAGGCACGAAAGCCAGGGGAGCGAACGGG
rnacentral:rRNA from 1 species